UCCCAUUAAAUCAAGUGAUGCAAUGCGAGUUCUAGCCAACUGAAAUAGAAAAGCUCUGAUCUUCCUUCACAUAAACCACAAGCUGGAUGCUAGAACAGGUUUAAACAAUCAUAUUCCAUGAAUAUGGUCUUAGCUUGCCUCAAAAUCUCUCUAUGAAAUUAGCGCACAAAGAGUUGAGGAUUGACGGUCUCUAUUUAUUAAAGUCACU
rnacentral:lncRNA from 1 species